UACGUAGGGUGCAAGCGUUGUCCGGAAUUAUUGGGCGUAAAGAGCUCGUAGGCGGUUUGUCGCGUCUGCUGUGAAAUCCCGAGGCUCAACCUCGGGCCUGCAGUGGGUACGGGCAAACUAGAGUGCGGUAGGGGAGAUUGGAAUUCCUGGUGUAGCGGUGGAAUGCGCAGAUAUCAGGAGGAACACCGAUGGCGAAGGCAGAUCUCUGGGCCGUGACUGACGCUGAGGAGCGAAAGCGUGGGGAGCGAACAGG
rnacentral:rRNA from 1 species